AUGGAGGCCGACGACCCGGCGCCGCGCGGCGGGGGUGGGGGCGGGGCCCCGCCCCGCAUCCGGCGGCUGGAGGAGUCGGUGGUGAACCGCAUCGCCGCGGGGGAGGUGAUCCAGCGGCCGUCGGCGGCGGUGAAGGAGCUCGUCGAGAACAGCAUCGACGCCGGCGCCUCCACCGUCUCCGUCACCGUCAAGGACGGCGGCCUCAAGCUCAUCCAGGUCUCCGACGACGGCCACGGCAUCCGGUGUGAGGACUUGCCAAUAUUGUGUGAGAGACAUACUACCUCAAAGCUGUCUGCAUAUGAGGACCUACAGACAAUAAAAUCCAUGGGGUUCAGAGGGGAGGCUUUGGCCAGUAUGACUUAUGUUGGCCAUGUUACGGUGACAACAAUAACAGAAGGCCAACUGCAUGGCUACAGAGUUUCUUAUAGGGAUGGAGUAAUGGAGAAUGACCCGAAGCCCUGUGCUGCGGUUAAAGGAACUCAAGUCAUGGUUGAAAAUUUAUUUUACAAUAUGGUAGCUCGUAGGAAAACACUGCAGAACUCCAGUGAUGACUAUCCAAAGAUAGUGGACUUCAUCAGUCGGUUUACGGUCCAUCACAUCAAUGUGAACUUCUCUUGCAGAAAGCAUGGAGUCAAUAGAGCAGAUGUUCACAGUGGGAACAUGUCUUCAAGGCUAGAUGCUAUUAGGAAUGUCUAUGGGGCUUCGGUUGUUCGUGAUCUGAUGGAAAUACAUGUUUCAUAUGAUGCUGUAGAUGAAAUAUUCAAGAUGGAUGGUUUCAUCUCAAAUGCAAAUUAUGUGGCAAAAAAGACUACUAUGAUUCUUUUCAUAAAUGAUAGACUUGUAGACUGCACUUCUUUGAAAAGGGCUACUGAAUUUGUGUAA
rnacentral:rRNA from 1 species